rnacentral:rRNA from 1 species
GAUGAACGCUGGCGGCAGGCCUAACACAUGCAAGUCGAGCGGAUGAAGGGAGCUUUCUCCUGGAUUACGCUGCGGACGGGUGAGUAAGGCCUAGGAAUCUGCCUGGCCUUGGGGACUAACGUCCGGAAACGGGCGCUAAUACCGCAUACGACCUGAUGGUGAAAGGGAGGGAUCUUUGGACCUCGCGGUAUCUGAUGAGCCUAGGCCGUAUUAGCUAGUUGGUUGGGUAACGGCGUACCAAGGCGACGAUCCGUAACUGGUCUGAGAGGGUGAUCAGCCACACUGGAACUGAGACACGGUCCAGACUCCUACGGGAGGCAGCAGUGGGGAAUAUUGGACAAUGGGCGAAAGCCUGAUCCAGCCACGCCGCGUGUGUGAAGAAGGUCUUCGGAUUGUAAAGCACUUUAAGUUGGGAGGAAGGACAGUAAGUUAAUCUCUUGAUGUCUUGACGUUACCAAAAGAAUAAGCACCGGCUAACUUCGUG